AUUGAACGCUGGCGGCAUGCCUUACACAUGCAAGUCGAACGGUAACAGGUCUUCGGAUGCUGACGAGUGGCGAACGGGUGAGUAAUACAUCGGAACGUGCCCGAGAGUGGGGGAUAACGAGGCGAAAGCUUUGCUAAUACCGCAUACGAUCUCAGGAUGAAAGCAGGGGACCGCAAGGCCUUGCGCUCACGGAGUGGCCGAUGGCAGAUUAGGUAGUUGGUGGGGUAAAAGCUUACCAAGCCGACGAUCUGUAGCUGGUCUGAGAGGACGACCAGCCACACUGGGACUGAGACACGGCCCAGACUCCUACGGGAGGCAGCAGUGGGGAAUUUUGGACAAUGGGCGCAAGCCUGAUCCAGCCAUGCCGCGUGCAGGAUGAAGGCCUUCGGGUUGUAAACUGCUUUUGUACGGAACGAAAAGACUCUGGUUAAUACCUGGGGUCCAUGACGGUACCGUAAGAAUAAGCACCGGCUAACUACGUGCCAGCCGCCGCCGUAAAAC
rnacentral:rRNA from 1 species